GAGGAACGGGGUUGUGUCCUGUAACAUUACGUUGAAAUAUUUCGCACCCCUGGCUUCGAGUUAUUAUCAACCUUUCCUUCAAAAGUAUCCUGAUCUCCAGAAAUAUCCUAGUUCCUGUAGAGAAUAAUAACACGACGGAAAACGGCUCGAGAGAAUCGCACUUCAAAUUAUACUAACAAGGACAGCUCAGGACAGAUUGACGGAUGAGAUAGCGUCAUUACUCAUUUAAUAGAUUAGUGUUGUACAGAGAUACUACGUUAUUGUUAUACGAGAUUUCGCUAUUGCGUAUCAUAAUGUGAGUGCAACCUAAUAAAGAUCAUAUCAUAUAAUAAAGAUAACUUGAGGAGGUAAAGGAAAAAAUUUGAAAAUUUGAUAAGAGGAGACAUAAAAAAAGCAUUAGUUGCCGGAAGCAACUUCACGAAUCAUCAUAGCUAUAUGAUCGAUAACUCUACUUACGCAUCAGUCGGUGAGUGAUAAAAUAUUUUAUUAGUGGUAAUGAGGUUUAUUAAUGGUAAUUAAUGAAUCUUAAUUGUAUCAGAUGUACGUUUAUAUAUUGAUAUUCUUACAAUCAUAUUAAGUGAUCAUAUCAAUAUACAAAAUUUCAUGGAUUCA